UCUCCUCAGGCCCCAUCCCUCACGGGACAAACCCUAGCCUUACAUCCCACACUACGUCCUCCUCCAUCCUCGUUAGCCGCCGCCGCCGUUCUGCCUCCCUCCUCUCUACCCUACAACCACGCCGGCGGAAGGAAGCCUCCGUUCGUGGCGCCAUACCACUGCCGGUGUGCUGUGCACGCUUCGUUCCCCACAGCCCCUCCCUCAUCCUCGCUCGGCACCGCCGCUGCCUGCUACUCCCCUCCACCACCGUUGCUACUUGUGGGUCGAAUCUAGCAUUGGUGGGUCAGAGCUCAAGCUAGAGGCCGAGACGGGGCUGGGCGAGCGGAUUCCAGGUGCGGGUUCGCCCUCUCCCCGCGCGGCGCGUGCGCAUCACGCCGUCUACGGGAGCGUGGGGGCAGGCCUCGCCCGCACCCCUCCGCCCUACCUCCCUCCUCGAUCUCUCUCCCUGGUCAGCCGCCACCAACCCUAGCCCCCUUUCAUACGCUGACUCCUCCAUACUCUGUCUCUGUCCGUGCAGGCGGCCAUCUUCGUUCCACCCCGAGCUUCUCAUCCUCCUUCCUUGCUUCUCUACUCCCACACGAAGGAGGAAGAUGCAAAUGGCGUCGGCUUUGGGAGAUAGCUCGCCCGGCUGCAGGGAAGGGCGACGGGACCGGCAUCCUGGGCGGUGGCGACGGUUGGACUCCAGGAGCUGCCGAGGUUGUCCUCACCAAGGAAGCGGCCGACAGCGCAAGGGAGGGCUCGUCCUUACGUGGUGCUCAACCGGCGAUUGAGAUUUGGAGGGAGACUAGGAGACCCCGGCGAAAACGAGCGUGCUAGCGGUGGCUCCGGGAAUGCAGGGUGAUAGGGCCCAGUCUAUGCUCCGGUUGUGUUGUUGGGGAAGCUUCUGGACGGGAUUUAGACAAGGAAACGGAAACCCGUGCGAAAUCGAGCAUCCUGGUGGUGCCUCGACCAAAGCGGGUCGACGGAUAGUGCCGGUGAGCACGGAGCAUGGUGCAGCGAGUUGGAUAGGCGGCAAGAGAGGUGACCACGGGUGUGGCUUGGGGAGCUCCGCACACAUGAAGUGAUGAUGAGUGCAUCCGACCCCACCAUGCUGCUGUUCCUGGAGAACAAGGGGUAUAUGAACCAGAAAUGAUGUGAUAUACUUGGUUAUUUGAACAUGAAGGUCAACCACGGGGUGGCGCGACAUGGGUGAGCUGAAAUUGUUCUACUGAUUCCUUGAUGCUUUGUUCAUUGCUUUGUUCUUAUUUUAUCGUUCUUUAUUUGCUUUGUUCUUUCCUACAAGAAGAUGCCGAGUCGUGCAAUAUGUUCAAAGAAGUGAGAAUCUGCAUUUUAUGAAUGUUUUCUUCUUUCUUCAUUGUUACCUCAAGUCAGUGAAUUCAGUUAAAUUGUACUGAGCAGCUUCAUACGCAUGGUUUCUCCAUCUACACAUCUUAUUCAGUCACGAGGCCAUUAAGAUCUUUUUGACUUUUAUAAAAAGGGUGAUGCCAAUUGGACGUCACCCUGUCCAACUUGAUCUUUAACUUGCUAUUACUGUUUGGAUCUUCACAUUCAAGGAUUUUUCAUUAAAUCGUCGGUUCACCAGUUCUUUGUUACUUGAGAUAUUGUGAUAAACUUAUAUCAUUGCUUACUAUACAUAUGUCUGGAUGAUGCCUGCAGGCUCAUUACAAGCUUCAGGUGGAUCAAAUAGUGGGCCUUCUAUAUAUAUAUUCAGCUGUAUCAUUUCUUACUAUAUAUGUCUUCCUGUAGACGAGACGAAACCAUACAUGGAUCCUUUGCCUCCUUUCUUGCUCAGACCCCAUGAUACAACCUCGGCGGUUGUCCAGCGACUAACAGGGUGCUCCACCGAUGGUGAAAAUACCUCACAUGAUGAUGUUGGAUAUUCUUCUACAAACUUCUGGCCUACUAGUGGCUGAGUAUCGAAGCAAAAUGUGACAGUUGCAUGAUGUGGUUGACUGUUUAUUUGCAUACAGCAAUAUCAUCUUUUGGAGAUAAAACAGCCGUAUGGAUGUUACAUGAGACCAUGUCGGAAGACCCUGCUGCUAUGUAAGCAAAAGGAUUCAUGAUACCCACGGUGAAAACAGAGAUAAGAUGCUACAGUUAGAGCAGCAUUGAGAAACCGAGGACACGAAAUGAGUCUGAAAAAUGCUAUGGGCUGAUUUGUUCUAGCUAGGUACAUGCAAUGCUUCUCUUAUAUAUAUGCAACGUAACAUCGCGGAUAACUAGAACUGUUGUGAUGUUGCUCUAUUAUAAGUACAAAUAACUCAUGGUUAUCUUUUCUUAUGCAAUGUGUGGUAGAAGUUGUACUCACAGGAAGACUAUCGUGCUUUGUAUAAACCACAUUCUAUGAUUCACUUCUGUUAUGCUUAUUUACAUUCCAGUGUUAGGACUGAAAUCCAUCUAUUGUAAUGAAUUUGGUUAUAUUGGCAUUACCUAUUUGACUUAGGCUUGGUUCAUCACAUAUAGACUGUUUUUCUUGUAACCCGCUGCUUGUAUGACCUAAAACUGUCAUGUAUAUGAGGCAAGUUAUUAGCAAUGUUUCACA